GACCGAGAUCAAUUUUCUCUUCUCCUUGAAACGUCCGCCUCAUAAUUUUGCAAAUCAAUGUAAAAGGCGUUACUCUUCUGCCACUGUUCGCCGAUAUUCAAUGUAACAAAGACGUCAAUACCACAGUUCUAAGAAAUUGAGUGGGGGUGGAUUAGUCUCAAACACAAGUUCCGAAAAGCAGGGAUAAACAGCUUCACGCCAUUGAUUUCCUUAGAUGGAAAAUGGUGAUUGAUGUUUAAUAUGGGAAAAAACUAAGGUGGGUCACGAUUUUGUGGUGGUUUUGAUGGAGAUUUCAACUGAUAGAAGAUCUGCUGUUGCUGUCGUCGAUUUAUGGCCAUUGAAAGUUCAGAUAAGUUCAAGAUGAAAAAGAAGACAAGUAGCAGGUGGGUUGUGGAUUUUGCAAGCGGCGGAUAAUGCUCAAAUGUGGGUGUAUCUUAAAGCGAUGGGGAAAAAAUGGGAUUAGGCAUGUUCAAGUGGAGUCUGUUAGUACUAUUGUGGCAAAAAUGGAUAGGAAAAUGAGUAUGUCCUGACCUGGGAGGAAACAGAAGGUCUGGUCGGUUGAUUUACCAGUGGCAGCUUAAUCUUUUAUGGGUGAAGCAUCAGCUAUGGAUUCGUUAGCGCGUUACAAGAGGUUCAAUUUGACAAGAUUACAAUCAUCUAAUAGUCAAGAAAGACAGCGGCAAGGUUUUAAAAAGCGAAAGCGUGGGGUGAAGCGCUCUCAUACUGAAGCGUAAAGUGCUGCGAAAACGUAGAGCGAAAGCCAACUUUUUAAAAUAUAUAAACUAGAAGCUGUCAACCAAAUAAAAGAAAACUACAAAGUAGUUCAGACAUAAUAAAGAAACAAUUAAACUAACUAAGCAUAUGACAUACUGAUACUGCCUAUUCUACCCAAGAGCUAUUUUAAUAUACUAGCUAGGAAUGUCUACAUCAUUCAUA